GACAGAGGGUGCAAACGUUGUUCGGAAUUACUGGGCGUAAAGCGCGUGUAGGCGGUCUCGCAAGUCGGAUGUGAAAGCCCAGGGCUCAACCCUGGAAGUGCACUCGAUACUGCGAGGCUAGAGUCCCGGAGAGGAUGGUGGAACUCUCGGUGUAGAGGUGAAAUUCGUAGAUAUCGAGAAGAACACCGGUGGACGAAGGCGGCCAUCUGGACGGUGACUGACGCUGAGACGCGAAAGCGUGGGGAGCAAACAGGAUUAGACUACC
rnacentral:rRNA from 1 species